UACGAAGGGUGCAAGCGUUACUCGGAAUUACUGGGCGUAAAGCGUGCGUAGGUGGUUUUUUAAGUCCGUUGUGAAAGCCCUGGGCUCAACCUGGGAAUGGCAGUGGAUACUGGAAAGCUAGAGUGCGGUAGAGGGAAGUGGAAUUCCCGGUGUAGCAGUGAAAUGCGUAGAGAUCGGGAGGAACACCAGUGGCGAAGGCGGCGUCCUGGACCAGUACUGACACUGAGGCGCGAAAGCGAGGGGAGCAAACAGG
rnacentral:rRNA from 1 species